AAACAGCGAACUACGAAACGUCACAACACUGAAGACGGGUCCAGUAUUAUUAAAUUAAAGUUUACUUAUACUCAAGCAUUUGCUUCUGUGGAAAUACAUUGAUGACUUAUAUUUGUGGUAUUGAUUUUUUCAGCGACAAAGGGUGGAGUUCCUAUUGGCACACCGGUAAUUUAUAUUUUUAAUAGUAAAGUUCCAGCCACUGCUACCGAUGGAACCCUAAUUGGAACAACAACAGUCAAAGCCAUACCAAUAUUAUGAAGAAAGGAAGAGUUAACACAACAACCAAGAGUAUAGGAAUCAGAGCGAAGAGUCAAAGCUCGCAAUAUAUAGGCUCAUGCAUUGUUGGAUCUGGAUAUAAUCGCAUUCUUUACCGCUAGAGCCAUGGAAAGCAUCAUCCAAAAGGAUCGAUACUAGAGAGAGGAGAUUGCUCCGCCAGCCAUUAAAUUGAUUUAAC
rnacentral:lncRNA from 1 species